CACAUGCAGUCGACGGUGAGCCAGCUUGCUUGGUGGAUCAGUGGCGAACGGGUGAGUAACACGUGAGCAACCUGCCCUGGACUCUGGGAUAAGCGCUGGAAACGGCGUCUAAUACUGGAUAUGAGACGUGAUCGCAUGGUCGUGUUUGGAAAGAUUUUUCGGUCUGGGAUGGGCUCGCGGCCUAUCAGCUUGUUGGUGAGGUAAUGGCUCACCAAGGCGUCGACGGGUAGCCGGCCUGAGAGGGUGACCGGCCACACUGGGACUGAGACACGGCCCAGACUCCUACGGGAGGCAGCAGUGGGGAAUAUUGCACAAUGGGCGGAAGCCUGAUGCAGCAACGCCGCGUGAGGGAUGACGGCCUUCGGGUUGUAAACCUCUUUUAGCAGGGAAGAAGCGAAAGUGACGGUACCUGCAGAAAAAGCGCCGGCUAACUACGUGCCAGCAGCCGCGGUAAUACGUAGGGCGCAAGCGUUAUCCGGAAUUAUUGGGCGUAAAGAGCUCGUAGGCGGUUUGUCGCGUCUGCUGUGAAAUCCCGAGGCUCAACCUCGGGCCUGCAGUGGGUACGGGCAGACUAGAGUGCGGUAGGGGAGAUUGGAAUUCCUGGUGUAGCGGUGGAAUGCGCAGAUAUCAGGAGGAACACCGAUGGCGAAGGCAGAUCUCUGGGCCGUAACUGACGCUGAGGAGCGAAAGGGUGGGGAGCAAACAGGCUUAGAUACCCUGGUAGUCCACCCCGUAAACGUUGGGAACUAGUUGUGGGGACCAUUCCACGGUUUCCGUGACGCAGCUAACGCAUUAAGUUCCCCGCCUGGGGAGUACGGCCGCAAGGCUAAAACUCAAAGGAAUUGACGGGGACCCGCACAAGCGGCGGAGCAUGCGGAUUAAUUCGAUGCAACGCGAAGAACCUUACCAAGGCUUGACAUAUACGAGAACGGGCCAGAAAUGGUCAACUCUUUGGACACUCGUAAACAGGUGGUGCAUGGUUGUCGUCAGCUCGUGUCGUGAGAUGUUGGGUUAAGUCCCGCAACGAGCGCAACCCUCGUUCUAUGUUGCCAGCACGUAAUGGUGGGAACUCAUGGGAUACUGCCGGGGUCAACUCGGAGGAAGGUGGGGAUGACGUCAAAUCAUCAUGCCCCUUAUGUCUUGGGCUUCACGCAUGCUACAAUGGCCGGUACAAAGGGCUGCAAUACCGUGAGGUGGAGCGAAUCCCAAAAAGCCGGUCCCAGUUCGGAUUGAGGUCUGCAACUCGACCUCAUGAAGUCGGAGUCGCUAGUAAUCGCAGAUCAGCAACGCUGCGGUGAAUACGUUCCCGGGUCUUGUACACACCGCCCGUCAAGUCAUGAAAGUCGGUAACACCUGAAGCCGGUGGCCCAACCCUUGUGGAGGG
rnacentral:rRNA from 1 species